UUCAGAGGAAGGAGGAGCCUGGCCUUCAAAAUUACUAUGACCAUCAGAAUGCCCUAGGAGAUCAAAGAAAUAACGGAGUGGGUGUGAGACCUUUUACAAAUGUGUGCACUCAAGCAGUGCAAAGGCAAACCUCCUGAGUCUCACUCUGUCACUCAGGCUGGAGUGCAGUGGCACGAUCUCAGCACACUGCAACCUUCGCCUCCCAGGUUCAAGCGAUUCUCCUGCCUCAGCUCUUGGACAAAACUUCAGCACUCCUGCUAGGGUGUGUCUGCCCUACUAAGACACUGUGCGCAGGUGGAGUUGAGGCUCUUAUGUAUGGAUCCUGUCCACUGUUGAGAUUGUGAAUUGCAUGUGUAGGCUCAACUCACAGGAGGUGUUGACUCACAAACCUCCAGCUGGGACAUGUGCAGGAUUAGAAAUUUUAUUUCUGGAUCUUUCUUCAGGCCCAGCUUACAGAAGGCAUUGUGACAGAUCUCUGGGCUCAUUACCUAGGAGAUGUGACUCUACACUGCCGGUUGGGCCGAGCCCCACUGAAGAUUGUGACGUAUUACUGAGCCCAUAAACUAGAAGGCGUUGUAACAUCUCACUAAGCCCAGCACUCAGGCGAUGUGGCUUUCCUGCUAUGGCACUGCACACAAGAAGAAUGUUGACAUAUUCCUGGCCUAGAAUUCAGGUUGUAUUGUGCCAUAUAUCUGGGACCAAAUUACAAGCACAAUGAUGAAUCUUUUACCUGGAGUCAAGACAUGUGCAGGAUGGUGGAACUUAUCACUGGACCUUUCCACAGUGUUAUUGUGACAUAUGCCUUUGCCCAACAUGUGGUGAUUUGACUCUCCAGACUGGGUCCAGUUCACAAAUAAAAUUGUGCCGUAUACUUGGCCAAGAACCUAA